CCUACGGGGGGCAGCAGUGAGGAAUAUUGCGCAAUGGGGGAAACCCUGACGCAGCAACGCCGCGUGGGUGAAGAAGGCCUUCGGGUCGUAAAGCCCUUUCGGACGGGACGAACGCUCCGCGGUGACAACCCGCGGAGUCUGACGGUACCGUAGGAAGAAGCACCGGCUAACUCCGUGCCAGCAGCCGCGGUAAUACGGAGGGUGCAAGCGUUGUUCGGAAUUACUGGGCGUAAAGCGCGUGUAGGCGGCCUUGCAAGCCAGACGUGAAAGCCCCCGGCUUAACCGGGGAAGUGCGUCUGGAACUGCUCGGCUCGAGUACGGGAGAGGGAGGCGGAAUUCCCAGUGUAGAGGUGAAAUUCGUAGAUAUUGGGAGGAACACCGGUGGCGAAAGCGGCCUCCUGGACCGAUACUGACGCUGAGACGCGAAAGCGUGGGGAGCAAACAGGAUUAGAUACCCUUGUAGUC
rnacentral:rRNA from 1 species